rnacentral:rRNA from 1 species
AGAGUUUGAUCCUGGCUCAGAAUCAACGCUGGCGGCGUGCCUAACACAUGCAAGUCGAACGCGAGGCCCUCGCAAGGGGGUAGUAACGUGGCAAACGGGUGAGUAACACGUGGGUGACCUGCCUUCGAGCGGGGGAUAACGUCCCGAAAGGGACGCUAAUACCGCAUAACAUCCUGCCUUUGAACAUGCGGUGAUCCAAGCUGGGGAUCGCAAGACCUAGCACUCGAAGAGGGGCCCGCGUCCGAUUAGCUAGUUGGUGGGGUAAUGGCCCACCAAGGCAACGAUCGGUAGCCGGCCUGAAAGGGCGGACGGCCACACUGGGACUGACACACGGCCCAGACUCCUACGGGAGGCAUC